AUAAGGAGGGCUCCAAAUGAUGCGCAGCAUCAUUUAUCUGAUGAGCCCGUGACAUGCCGCCGAAGCUUCAGCUGAGGGGGCGAUACCGCAA
rnacentral:sRNA from 1 species